ACCCAAGCCUUCUGGCGAUCUCUUAUAAAUUAAGCUCUCCCGUAGUUUUUAAAGAAAAGGGAGGAGAGGGAAGAAACUUCCCGCCUAAUAUGAUAAGUCCGGGGAAGGUUUUCCGGUUUAUCCCGGAGGGCUUGUAGCUCAGUUGGUUAGAGCGCGCGCUUGAUAAGCGUGAGGUCGGAGGUUCAAGUCCUCCCAGGCCCACCAAUUUAUGUAUCAAUUUAUAAGCGCUUACGAGUUUUCUUAUAUCAGGUUUACGUAUAAACUUAUAAGGAAGUCACUUCAUUCAAGAAGCUUGCUUGCAAAAAUGUUGCGCUUCUCACUUUUGCUUAAGUGAUCCAAAGUUAAAGCAAUGCAAACUAAAGUGAUCGCACUUUAAGGGCGAUCCUCCAUUUAAAAUUUUUGAUCCUUUUUCCUUUUUUGGGGCCGUAGCUCAGCUGGGAGAGCACCUGCUUUGCAAGCAGGGG
rnacentral:misc_RNA from 1 species